rnacentral:rRNA from 1 species
GAUGAACGCUGGCGGCGUGCCUAAUACAUGCAAGUCGAGCGAACAGACGAGGAGCUUGCUCCUCUGACGUUAGCGGCGGACGGGUGAGUAACACGUGGAUAACCUACUUAUAAGACUGGGAUAACUUCGGGAAACCGGAGCUAAUACCGGAUAAUAUAUUGAACCGCAUGGUUCAAUAGUGAAAGACGGUUUUGCUGUCACUUAUAGAUGGAUCCGCGCCGCAUUAGCUAGUUGGUAAGGUAACGGCUUACCAAGGCAACGAUGCGUAGCCGACCUGAGAGGGUGAUCGGCCACACUGGAGCUGAGACACGGUCCAGACUCCUACGGGAGGCAGCAGUAGGGAAUCUUCCGCAAUGGGCGAAAGCCUGACGGAGCAACGCCGCGUGAGUGAUGAAGGUCUUCGGAUCGUAAAACUCUGUUAUUAGGGAAGAACAAAUGUGUAAGUAACUAUGCACGUCUUGACGGUACCUAAUCAGAAAGCCACGGCUAACUACGUG